AACGCACCUUGCGCCCUUUGGCUAUUCCGAAGGGCAUGCCUGUUUGAGUAUCAUGAACACCUCAACUCUCAUGGCUUGCCAUGAUGAGCUUGGACUUUGGGGGUCUUGCUGGCCUGUGGUCAGCUCCUCUCAAAUGAAUCAGCUUACCAGUGUUUGGUGGCAUCACAGGUGUGAUAACUAUCUACGCUUGUGGUUUUCCAUCAUGUAACCUUCAGUGAUGAAGGUUCACUGGGGCUCAUAAAUGUCUCUCCUCAAUGAGGACAGCCCUUUUAACGUUUGAUCUCAAAUCAGGUAGGACUACCCGCUGAACUUAA
rnacentral:misc_RNA from 1 species